UGGGGUAUCGCCAAGCGGUAAGGCACCGAUUUUUGAUACCGGCAUUCCCUGGUUCGAAUCCAGGUACCCCAGCCA
rnacentral:tRNA from 2 species